UCUAAACUUGCAUAUUUUCAUUGUUUAUGACUGGCAUCCUAUUCAAAAAGCCCGCUUCUCCUGCCAUUAUCUCUGUUGUUCAUUUUGCGACUUAUUGGUUGUUUUUAGCUGUGGGGUCACAUAUUGAAUAGUGAGCUCAAAGAUGACCAUAAAUAAACAAUGUGUAAAAAGAAAAUGUACGAAAUUUCAAUUUUGUUCCUUUAUUAAUAUUCUUGAUUUUAUUUACAAACUAUAGUAGUGACUAGUGCACUCAAAGAUAACCAUACAUAAACCAUGUGUAAAAAGAAAAUGUACACAUAGAAAUUUCAACCAAAAAAAAUCUCCUUUAUUAAUAGAAAAAAAAGCAUUCGAUCGAGAUAUUCCCGUUCUAUGUGCAUGUGUGCGCAAAAGUUUCAACGUAGAGGACAGUACGCAAGUACGUAAUUUGAAAAUUACCCGUUAUUUUUUUUCCCCACUGGCACUGCUGUGCGCAUCGGACUUUUGCUGAUUUUCGUUCAUCAAACGUCUCCAAAUCACACCAAAAUGUCUUCCAGCAAUUAUUCUAGCGAUGAAAUUUCAUCAAGAGAUAGUGACUCCUCAUACUCCGAUGCCUCCUUAUCCCAUUUUAGUGAUUCUUCCCAAGAAAGUGAGCCCGACAAAUGUUCAAAAUAUUACUAGUCCCACUCGUAGAGAAACGAGUUUGUUGUCGAAUUACGGACUAUCGACGAGCGGAACUGGCCCCAGAAAAACAGCUGAAAAGGAAUCAGAAAACACAACCUGCUAAAGCACCACGCAAGAAGAAGAGCAAGUCUUCCAAGUCCGAGAGUGUGUCUGCGAGGUAUGUCCUUACUAAGUAGAAAUCUAAAUCUAUUGUUGAUAAUUUUUUUGGGUUUAUUUAUUUCAUGUUUGUUAGUUAAGAUCUGACAUCAAAAUAUUAGAGUAGUUUACCUCAUCAUUAUGCUAGAACAAUAAUUUGCAGGUGGCACAAGUUCUACCUAGAUCUACAUUAUUUUUCUCUUUCCUUUUUAUUUUUUUCUUCAACAAAUUGUUCCUUUACUAUUUUCUUUUCUGUGUUUUAUGUUUUAUUUUAUGUAUGUUCACCCAAUAUAUCUAAGAAUAAAAUAACUCUAAUUAAUUGCCUACCUGAGUGGUUUACAUUUCAUGCACCUUGACAGCUCUUUGAUGACUCCGUUGUUUCACCAUCCGUUCGUCGUCAGCCUGGCAUCUUUUUUGCUAUCGUACUUUUGUACACACAUGUUCUGUGCCUUUGAAUUUUUCAUUAUGAAAUACAUAAAUACUUGUACUAAGUAUUAAUUGCAUGUUCAUAAAUGUACCAAUGCAUGAUUAUUCUAACCCCUAACUCACAUUUCAUUUAUAUCUUUACAGAUCAAUAGAAACUAAUCAAGCUACAAUGUACAUGUAACGUACAAUCACCAUUCGAUGCCUGUGAACAGCAUGACCAACAUCUGUAUCCUUUACAUUAGUAUUUGUUUCCAUUUUAUUAUGUAAUUCUUAUGUCUAAUCAUUGAGAUUUAUAGGCAAGUACAACAUGUAUGUGUACACAAUGAGUGCCUGCAUAUUGUGAAGAUAAAGGACCAUAAGACCAUUACUUAUGAUACAUGGUAAUGAUGGUAUACUUUGUAAAACUAUUUGAAAAUAGUAGCAUGUAAGUCUGUCAUUUUCUUGUUUAUAUAUAUCUCAAUGACAUGACAUGUCAUUGAUUUUGUAGUAAGUGUUUCUAGAUUAUGAUGAUUGUAUUAAGAUUUUGACAGUUCAAUUGAGAUUGAGAAAAUUAUGUAACAUGUCAACUGUACAAUAGAGCAUGCAUGCAUUGUUGAAAAAUCUGUUUUAUGAUUUAUUUUAUUUUGUUAUCUUUGUAAAUAACGAGAAAUUUUUUUUUACUUGUCAUGAUUUUCUCGAGGUUUGAAAAUGUUAUUACAUUAUUAAGAGCACUUUGCAAUUAAAUUGUAAUAAAAGAGACAGAAAACAACACUCUCAUGUCAAGAAUACUGCUUUAUUUGGUUACUAGUGAGGGAGAGAGCUUGUGAUCGCCUGGCAUAUCCACAUCGGCUCAGUAAUAGUCCUGAAACUCACCUGAAUACUUUAUUUGAACAAAAAUAGAAAGCUACAUUCUAGGUGGAUGAUAUUUUUUUAAGGCGGAGGCAUAUAGGAGACGCAGUCGCAUUUGUCUUGUUUUUUUUUUUUUAGAGUAUAAUCAUAGCAAACCAUGAACAACUCUAUUACUACAACAUGUACACUACAGUACUUAACCAAAGAUUGUAAAUAUCAGUUAAGUUCUUUAUUUAUUUGCUUACAUGAACACACAUACUAUACUAAACUCAUGUCAUUGUGUUUACCUCUCGAAAAUAAAGUACAUGUAUUUUAUUUGACAUGUUCCCUUUUAUUCUUUUUGUUUGUUACAGUCCACUGCCAUUAUAACGAGGUGCUCGAGACCAAGCCAAUUUCCUUGUUAAAAUGAAAUCAUGUUAUACUCAAGUUACUGAACACAUUGGUUUGUUUAAAAUUGGGACUGAUGAGAAUUGCCUGAUAAUAAAAUCUUGGUGUAUCCAUGUUCGUUAUAAUAGGAGUGGACUGUA
rnacentral:lncRNA from 1 species